rnacentral:rRNA from 1 species
GGGUGAGUAACACGUGGAUAACCUACCUAUAAGACUGGGAUAACUUCGGGAAACCGGAGCUAAUACCGGAUAAUAUUUUGAACCGCAUGGUUCAAAAGUGAAAGACGGUCUUGCUGUCACUUAUAGAUGGAUCCGCGCUGCACUAGCUAGUUGGUAAGGUAACGGCUUACCAAGGCAACGAUGCAUAGCCGACCUGAGAGGGUGAUCGGCCACACUGGAACUGAGACACGGUCCAG